rnacentral:lncRNA from 1 species
GUGCGCCUCUAAGAUGGCGACGCCUUUGGCGGUAAAUUCGGGUAAGUGUGGCCAGACAGAAAGACGAUUGAGCUGAGCGAUAACCAGGUCUUCAUGGAGAGACGAGACCGUGAGGUUUCUCGGAGUCUAGGACCCCACUUAUGUGCGGUGCCUGCUUUUCCCUAAUUCUGGGCCUAGAGUCCCACCCCUCCCCAGUUUGAAUGGCGCGCGUCGGUGCUGCGGCUCCAGCCCUCGAGUUGGGGUUUGAGAUUCCAGGCAGUGAGGCUUGGGCCGCUGGACCCAGCUGCUAGUCUAUGGGGUCCUUACAAAGACAUUUGGCAUAAAGUGGGAAAUGCUCUUUGGAGAAGACAACCUGAAGCUGUUCACCUUCUUGAUAAGAUUUUGAAGAAACACAAACCUGACUUCAUCUCAUUGUUCAAAAAUCCGCCAAAAAAUGUUCAACAGCAUGAGAAGGUUCAGAAAGCCAGUACAGAGGGAGUCGCCAUUCAGGGUCAACAGGGAACUCGACUUCUUCCUGAACAGCUCAUUAAAGAAGCCUUUAUUCUCAGUG